ensembl:lncRNA
CCCCUCCUCCCCAUCUCUCGCCCCGCAGAGCCCCGGCCCUGCACCGCUGAGGGCCCGCGCGGUGCGGAUCUGAGGGGUGCGUCGGGCUCGGGAGACAUAUUUAGAAGCACCAUUAAGAUAAUGAUGAUAAUCAUCAUUAAAAACACCGGAAAACGUCCACGGAGCCUAAAGAGGACCCCGGUCCGGUGCGGGACAAACGUGUCCCCAGGCAGCGCCAGCCGGGGGAGGGUGCUUCUGGGCGGGGGCGCGGGGCUUUGUGCUGCUGCUGGAUACGGCGGUACCCCCACACAAACCCUCACGGCCCCGGCAUACACGUGCCGAGACACGGAGAUAAACGGGAGGGUGAGGGACGCCGGCGGGCUCAGCGCUGCGGGCAUCCGAGGGGUGCGGGACACCGGGGCUCUUCCUCGACUCCCAAAUUCCCCCCCGCUUCUGGGGCAUCGCUGAGCCCCCCCCCGCCCAGGGGGACCGCCGUGGGGACCGCACCCCGGGCAGCCCCGAUUGCUGCCCCGCGUCCGAAGGUGGGAGAAGGAGAUUUUGUUCGGCGGCGCCUGGAAAUAAAAAUCGCCCCGAACUUCUGCCGGCGGCUGAAAAUGGGGAUAGAACGCAGCGAAAGGAGGGGAAAUAAAAAGAGAAAAAGGAAGGAAAAGGAGGAGAGAGGCAGAGGAAGAGAAGAAAAAGAGAGGUACGGAGAGAUGGCGAGGAGGAUCGGGGCAUUCACCUCUGCUGCUCGCAGCGCGCUGCUCCGCCGGGAGCGGGACUGGGAGGAAUGGGGUACGUGGGAUGGGGAGAUGCGGGGAUGGGGGGAUGGAAGGAUGCGGGGAUGGGGUGUGCGGGGAUGGAGGAUGCAGGGAUGGGGGGUGUAGGGCUGCAGCCGCGUCCCUCCUGUGCUCCCCCUAAUUCCUAUUGAACCCAAGCAAGAUCGCGAAGCCAAACCUUACCCAAAGGUUAGCGGGUCUCGCGGGGGCGUUUGAGCCGCAAAUCGUUUCAGACGGAGCUAAAAGGAGAGAGCAGCGAGAAGCGAGCUGCAGUCCCUGCUCCGAGGCUGCCGGGCGCUCCCUCUGCCUGGCGCUGGGGGCUUCGGGCGCCUCUCCCCCCGCAGGAGGGAGGAAUGGGGGUCCCGGCACCGCUCGGGGAGCAGCCCCCGCACCUCAAAGCGUUUCAUUCCUACGGCUUUCGGUGAGCUGUGCGCUUCCUCAAACAGCACUGCAAACCACGUCUGAAACUGAAAUACAGCCAUAAGAAGAAAGGGACUGAAAGCAAUCCCCGCACGCUCAGCCUCACCCCGCUGCGCAGCACUCAGCCCACGCAGGUGCUGAGGUGGGUGCAGUGCCCCAAUCCCUGCACGCAUCCCUUCCUCGUGGCACAAAACUCCACGCACACCAAGAGCUGCCGCUGAGCAUCUCAGCACUGCAAGGAGAAGGCCGGGGGGAGCAACUUAACCCUGCCAAAGCCCUCCUCGGCCACAUCUGCUGAAGAAGGGGGACCCCCUCCCAGACCCACACGUGUGUACUUAGCAAAGCAAUGGCCGCAGUCCGACGCGCUCCCCUCACCCGCAGCCAUCGUCCCCAGCUCCGGGCACUCCCCGCCCCGUCCUCCCGCAGCACUGACAGCAUAAUGAAGAGUGGCACGGUGCGACUAUAAAAAGGCAAUUAGACAAACUGCUGGAUGGGGACCAGCUCUCGUGACCUACUUAAUAGCUCGGGGACUUUCGGGAGGAUAGGGAAGGAAAUGCAGUGGUGGCUGUGGGGUGGCGGGGAGGGAGAGAAGAUGAUGCAGCACAGCGCCCUGAGCCCCCAGAGCAGCCCCGUGGCACAGAGAGAACAGCUC